CCUACGGGAGGCAGCAGUAGGGAAUCUUCCACAAUGGGCGAAAGCCUGAUCGAGCAACGCCGCGUGGGUGAAGAAGGUCUUCGGAUCGUAAAACCCUGUUGUUAGAGAAGAAAGUGCGUGAGAGUAACUGUUCACGUUUCGACGGUAUCUAACCAGAAAGCCACGGCUAACUACGUGCCAGCAGCCGCGGUAAUACGUAGGUGGCAAGCGUUAUCCGGAUUUAUUGGGCGUAAAGGGAACGCAGGCGGUCUUUUAAGUCUGAUGUGAAAGCCUUCGGCUUAACCGGAGUAGUGCAUUGGAAACUGGGAGACUUGAGUGCAGAAGAGGAGAGUGGAACUACAUGUGUAGCGGUGAAAUGCGUAGAUAUAUGGAAGAACACCAGUGGCGAAAGCGGCUCUCUGGUCUGUAACUGACGCUGAGGUUCGAAAGCGUGGGUAGCAAACAGGAUUAGAUACCCCAGUAGUC
rnacentral:rRNA from 1 species